AAACCAACAGGGAUUGCCCUAGUAACGGCGAGUGAAGCGGCAACAGCUCAAAUUUGAAAUCUGGCCCUCGGGUCCGAGUUGUAAUUUGUAGAGGAUGCUUUUGGCGCGGUGCCUUCCGAGUUCCCUGGAACGGGACGCCUUAGAGGGUGAGAGCCCCGUACGGUUGGACGCCUAGCCUCUGUAAAGCUCCUUCGACGAGUCGAGUAGUUUGGGAAUGCUGCUCUAAAUGGGAGGUAAAUUUCUUCUAAAGCUAAAUAUUGGCCAGAGACCGAUAGCGCACAAGUAGAGUGAUCGAAAGAUGAAAAGCACUUUGAAAAGAGGGUUAAAUAGCACGUGAAAUUGUUGAAAGGGAAGCGUUUGCGACCAGACCUUCGCCCGGCGGAUCAUCCGGUGUUCUCACCGGUGCACUUCGCCGGGCCUAGGCCAGCAUCGGUUUCCGCGGGGGGACAAAAGCGGGGGGAACGUAGCUCCCUCGGGAGUGUUAUAGCCCCUCGCAUAAUACCCUCGCGGGGACCGAGGACCGCGCUUCGGCAAGGAUGCUGGCGUAAUGGUCGUCAACGAC
rnacentral:rRNA from 1 species